AGCUCCAAUAGCGUAUAUUAAAGUUGUUGCAGUUAAAAAGCUCGUAGUUGGAUUUGUGGUUGUUGCCGUGGCGUCCAUUAAUUUGGUUCUGCCGUGGCGCAGCCAUCCUUGGGUGGAUCCUGUGUGGCAUUAGGUUGUCGUGCAGGGGAUGCCCAUCGUUUACUGUGAAAAAAUUAGAGUGUUCAAAGCAGGCUUAUGCCGUUGAAUAUAUUAGCAUGGAAUAAUAAGAUAGGUCUUUGGUCCUAUUUUGUUGGUUUGCGGGCCUUAGAAAUGAUUAACAGGGACAGUUGGGGGUAUUCGUAUUCCAUUGUCAGAGGUGAAAUUCUUGGAUUUCUGGAAGACGAACUACUGCGAAAGCAUUUACCAAGGAUGUUUUCA
rnacentral:rRNA from 1 species